CCUACGGGGGGCAGCAGUGAGGAAUAUUGGUCAAUGGACGAGAGUCUGAACCAGCCAAGUAGCGUGAAGGAUGACUGCCCUAUGGGUUGUAAACUUCUUUUAUAUGGGAAUAAAAUGUUCCACGUGUGGGAUUUUGUAUGUACCAUAUGAAUAAGGAUCGGCUAACUCCGUGCCAGCAGCCGCGGUAAUACGGAGGAUCCGAGCGUUAUCCGGAUUGAUUGGGUUUAAAGGGAGCGUAGGUGGAUUGUUAAGUCAGUUGUGAAAGUUUGCGGCUCAACCGUAAAAUUGCAGUUGAUACUGGCAGUCUUGAGUACAGUAGAGGUGGGCGGAAUUCGUGGUGUAGCGGUGAAAUGCUUAGAUAUCACGAAGAACUCCGAUUGCGAAGGCAGCUCACUGGACUGCAACUGACACUGAGGCUCGAAAGUGUGGGUAUCAAACAGGAUUAGAUACCCCAGUAGUC
rnacentral:rRNA from 1 species